UUCUAAGGGCGGUGAAGUCAGACCGGAAGGACUGGUGGAGCGCUUAGAAGUGAGAAUGCCGGUAUGAGUAGCGAAAGAAGGGUGAGAAUCCCUUCCACCGAAUAUCUAAGGUUUCCUGAGGAAGGCUCGUCCGCUCAGGGUUAGUCGGGACCUAAGCCGAGGCCGAUAGGCGUAGGCGAUGGACAACAGGUAGAGAUUCCUGUACCAGUGCUAAUUGUUUAACCGAUGGGGUGACACAGAAGGAUAGGGAAUCGCACGAAUGGAAAUGUGCGUCCAAGCAGUGAGUGUGAGAAGUAGGCAAAUCCGCUUCUCGCGAAGCAUGAGCUGUGAUGGGGAAGGAAAUUAAGUACGGAAGUUCCUGAUUUCACGCUGUCAAGAAAAGCCUCUAGGAAGAGUAGUACUGCCCGUACCGCAAACCGACACAGGUAGAUGAGGAGAGAAUCCUAAGGUGAGCGAGAGAACUCUCGUUAAGGAACUCGGCAAAAUGACCCCGUAACUUCGGGAGAAGGGGUGCUCUAUUAGGGUGCAAGCCCGAGAGAGCCGCAGUGAAUAGGCCCAGGCGACUGUUUAGCAAAAACACAGGUCUCUGCAAAACCGUAAGGUGACGUAUAGGGGCUGACGCCUGCCCGGUGCUGGAAGGUUAAGAGGAGUGCUUAGCUUCGGCGAAGGUACGAAUUGAAGCCCCAGUAAACGGCGGCCGUAACUAUAACGGUCCUAAGGUAGCGAAAUUCCUUGUCGGGUAAGUUCCGACCCGCACGAAAGGCGCAACGAUCUGGGCACUGUCUCAACGAGAGACUCGGUGAAAUUAUAGUACCUGUGAAGAUGCAGGUUACCCGCGACAGGACGGAAAGACCCCGUGGAGCUUUACUGCAACCUGAUAUGGAAUGUUUGUACCGCUUGUACAGGAUAGGUAGGAGCCGAAGAGACGUGUGCGCUAGCAUACGAGGAGGCAAUGGUGGGAUACUACCCU
rnacentral:rRNA from 1 species